UGGGGAAUUUUGGACAAUGGGCGAANGCNUGAUCCAGCCAUGCCGCGUGCAGGAUGAAGGCCUUCGGGUUGUAAACUGCUUUUGUACGGAACGAAACGGCCUUUUCUAAUAAAGAGGGCUAAUGACGGUACCGUAAGAAUAAGCACCGGCUAACUACGUGCCAGCAGCCGCGGUAAUACGUAGGGUGCAAGCGUUAAUCGGAAUUACUGGGCGUAAAGCGUGCGCAGGCGGUUAUGUAAGACAGUUGUGAAAUCCCCGGGCUCAACCUGGGAACUGCAUCUGUGACUGCAUAGCUAGAGUACGGUAGAGGGGGAUGGAAUUCCGCGUGUAGCAGUGAAAUGCGUAGAUAUGCGGAGGAACACCGAUGGCGAAGGCAAUCCCCUGGACCUGUACUGACGCUCAUGCACGAAAGCGUGGGGAGCAAACAGGAUUAGAUACCCUGGUAGUCCACGCCCUAAACGAUGUCAACUGGUUGUUGGGUCUUCACUGACUCAGUAACGAAGCUAACGCGUGAAGUUGACCGCCUGGGGGAGUACGGCCGCAAGGUUG
rnacentral:rRNA from 1 species